rnacentral:rRNA from 1 species
UACCAGCACCCCGAGUGGUCGGGACGAUUAUUGGGCCUAAAGCAUCCGUAGCCGGUUCUACAAGUCUUCCGUUAAAUCCACCUGCUUAACAGAUGGGCUGCGGAGGAUACUAUGGAGCUAGGAGGCGGGAGAGGCAAGCGGUACUUAGUGGGUAGGGGUAAAAUCCUCUGAUCCAUUGAAGACCACCAGUGGCGAAGGCGGCUUGCCAAUACGCGCUCGACGGUGAGGGAUGAAAGCUGGGGGAGCAAACCGG